rnacentral:tRNA from 2 species
GCGGGCGUGGCGGAACGGUAGACGCGCCGGAUUCAAAAUCCGGUUUCCGAAAGGAAGUGUGGGUUCGAAACCCACCGCCCGCACCA